rnacentral:rRNA from 1 species
UCAACUUGAGAGUUUGAUCCUGGCUCAGAACGAACGCUGGCGGCAGGCCUAACACAUGCAAGUCGAGCGAACCCUUCGGGGUUAGCGGCGGACGGGUGAGUAACGCGUGGGAACGUGCCCUUCUCUACGGAAUAGCCCUGGGAAACUGGGAGUAAUACCGUAUACGCCCCUUGGGGGAAAGAUUUAUCGGAGAAGGAUCGGCCCGCGUUGGAUUAGGUAGUUGGUGGGGUAAUGGCCUACCAAGCCUACGAUCCAUAGCUGGUUUGAGAGGAUGAUCAGCCACACUGGGACUGAGACACGGCCCAGACUCCUACGGGAGGC